rnacentral:lncRNA from 1 species
GGGAUGAUAAAGAAUGAAAAAGGAAUCCCCAGCGACAACCAACAUAAAUUUACGCUUAAUUAUGCACUCAUAAUUUACGAGGAGAAACAGAAGUCACCGUAGGCCUGGGAAAAAAGUUGGAAGAAUUUCUCAAAUUCCCCACCAGUCACACCAUCAAAACAAUUUCUCAAAUUCUUACAUGCACCGCAUGUGGAGUUAGCCAGC